UACGGGGGGGGCAAGCGUUGUUCGGAAUACUGGGCGUAAAGGGCUCGUAGGCGGCCAACUAAGUCAGACGUGAAAUCCCUCGGCUUAACCGGGGAACUGCGUCUGAUACUGGAUGGCUUGAGUUUGGAGAGGGAUGCGGAAUUCCUGGUGUAGCGGUGAAAUGCGCAGAUAUCAGGAGGAACACCAAUGGCGAAGGCAGCUCGCUGGGACGUGACUGACGCUGAGACGCGAAAGCGUGGGGAGCAACAGG
rnacentral:rRNA from 1 species